GAUGAACGCUGGCGGCGUGCCUAAUACAUGCAAGUCGAGCGAACAGACGAGGAGCUUGCUCCUCUGACGUUAGCGGCGGACGGGUGAGUAACACGUGGAUAACCUACCUAUAAGACUGGGAUAACUUCGGGAAACCGGAGCUAAUACCGGAUAAUAUGUUGAACCGCAUGGUUCAAUAGUGAAAGACGGUUUUGCUGUCACUUAUAGAUGGAUCCGCGCCGCAUUAGCUAGUUGGUAAGGUAACGGCUUACCAAGGCAACGAUGCGUAGCCGACCUGAGAGGGUGAUCGGCCACACUGGAACUGAGACACGGUCCAGACUCCUACGGGAGGCAGCAGUAGGGAAUCUUCCGCAAUGGGCGAAAGCUUGACGGAGCAACGCCGCGUGAGUGAGGAAGGUCUUCGGAUCGUAAAACUCUGUUAUUAGGGAAGAACAAAUGUGUAAGUAACUAUGCACGUCUUGACGGUACCUAAUCAGAAAGCCACGGCUAACUACGUG
rnacentral:rRNA from 1 species